UACGGAGGGGGCUAGCGUUGUUCGGAAUUACUGGGCGUAAAGCGCGCGCAGGCGGUCUUCCAAGUCAGUGGUGAAAGCCUGGAGCUCAACUCCAGAACUGCCAUUGAAACUGUUAGACUUGAGUACGAGAGAGGUGAGUGGAAUUCCCAGUGUAGAGGUGAAAUUCGUAGAUAUUGGGAAGAACACCAGUGGCGAAGGCGGACUCACUGGCUCGUAACUGACGCUCAGGCGCGACAGCGUGGGGAGUCAAACAGG
rnacentral:rRNA from 1 species